rnacentral:rRNA from 1 species
UGGAUUAAGAGCUUGCUCUUAUGAAGUUAGCGGCGGACGGGUGAGUAACACGUGGGUAACCUGCCCAUAAGACUGGGAUAACUCCGGGAAACCGGGGCUAAUACCGGAUAACAUUUUGAACCGCAUGGUUCGAAAUUGAAAGGCGGCUUCGGCUGUCACUUAUGGAUGGACCCGCGUCGCAUUAGCUAGUUGGUGAGGUAACGGCUCACCAAGGCAACGAUGCGUAGCCGACCUGAGAGGGUGAUCGGCCACACUGGGACUGAGACACGGCCCAGACUCCUACGGGAGGCAGCAGUAGGGAAUCUUCCGCAAUGGACGAAAGUCUGACGGAGCAACGCCGCGUGAGUGAUGAAGGCUUUCGGGUCGUAAAACUCUGUUGUUAGGGAAGAACAAGUGCU